AGUGAACGCUGGCGGUAGGCCUAACACAUGCAAGUCGAACGGAAACACAAUAAGCGUUCGCCCUUAAGGGUGGCGAGUGGCGGACGGGUAACGAAUACAUAAGAAUCCAAUUUUUCGGGGGGGACAACGUAGGGAAGCUUCUGAUAAUACAGAAUACGACCUACGGGAGAAAGCAGGGGAUCUUGGCACCUUGCGCGACUCAAUGAGCUGAUGUCGGAUUAGCUAGUUGGCAAGGUAAAGGCACACCAAGGCGACGAUACGUAGCUGAUCUGAGAGGAUGAUCAGCCACACUGGAACUGAGACACGGUCCAGACUCCUACGGGAGGCAGCAGUAGGGAAUAUUGCACAAUGGGCGCAAGCCUGAUCGAGCCAUACCGCGUGAGUGAUGAAGGUCUUCGGGUCGUAAAGCUCUGUUAUUGGGAAAGAAAAGCAGUAUGUUUAAAUCCGGCUGUUCUGACGGUACCUAAUGAGAAAGCACCGGCUAACUACGUG
rnacentral:rRNA from 1 species